rnacentral:tRNA from 1 species
UAAAUAGAAAGCAAUAAUUGCAUUUAGUUUCGACCUAAAAGUUGAUGAUAAAUCAUCUCUAUUUAU